CAUGAUUCACCUUCAAAUUCCUCAUAGGGUUCAAAACCUCCCCCAAUCAUAAUUUCCUUUCCAUUAAACUACCAAGUCCAUCGAUAGUUUCAUUUCUCAUUUAAAAUUAGGAUUGCAGAGAAAUACGGAGAAUACAAUUCUCAGAAUUCGCGGCUUACGGAUAAAUUCCAGUUAAUUACUUUGCAUACUCAGGGAAAAUGUCAAUAAGGAAACUAAAUUUUAAAGACCCUGUCAAGGAUGAUAGACCUCUUCAUGUUGAGAUGAUUUUCAAACUAAGCUUUGAUUAUUGGAGAUAGCAACGGCCCUUUAGCACUAGUGUUGGACAGGGACAUGUACUGUGCAAUGAUCCCACCUCAGCUAAGCAAGGAAUGUGUUGCCAUCUUGAAGAACAAGCAAUGUGUCUGCAAAUGUGCUAUGCACUUUUGGAUAGAUUGGGGCUUCACAAUUUUUAGUGCCGAUAUUGUUUGAGUAGAAGAUGGCCAACACAUUAUUGUUUAGUAUGCGCGUUCAAAUCGCAUAGGUUUUGGCGGAAGACCAUUAGGUAUUUGGGCUUUCUGUUAUUCAAAAUUGACAUUUUAUUAGGAUGAGUAGUUUAUGGAAUUUUGUUUGGAUUUAUGUUAAUUCAAAUUUGACAUUUUAUUUGGAUGAGUUCUUUAUGAAA